rnacentral:rRNA from 1 species
CACCGCGGUUAUACGAGAGGCCCAAGUUGAUAGCCUACGGCGUAAAGAGUGGUUAAGAUGUCUAAUUUAUUAAAGCCGAAUGCCCCCAAAGCUGUUAUACGCUUCCGGAGAUAAGAAGAACCACCACGAAAGUGGCUUUAUGUGAUCUGAACCCACGAAAGCUAGGAAA